rnacentral:rRNA from 1 species
UACAGAGGGUGCGAGCGUUGUCCGGAAUCACUGGGCGUAAAGGGCGCGUAGGCGGCCCGGUAAGGUUGCGGUGAAAGCCCGGGGCUCAACCCCGGGUCGGCCGUGGCAACUGCUGGGCUGGAGCACAGUAGAGGCGGGUGGAAUUCCGGGUGUAGCGGUGGAAUGCGUAGAGAUCCGGAAGAACACCGAUGGCGAAGGCGGCCCGCUGGGCUGUUGCUGACGCUGAGGCGCGACAGCGUGGGGAGCAAACAGG